UUACUUUGUUAUUUCCUUCUAAUUGAAUGAUGUGGGACUAAAACUUUAAAUUCAUAGUAGGACUACACUUAUUAUUUAUAUAUAUUUUGUUCAACAGUUCCGCCUCACUAAUUGAUAUUGAUAAUUGAUAUGCAAGGCUAAUUAUAAUUCUAAAAACUUCUUCAUGAGAUUGGUUGCAUCCAUUUCAGGCAUUUUGUAAGGCAUUAAACCAAAGAUUUUACAGUGAUCCUGGUUUCAAAGAGAAUGCUUUCAAAUCCUGUAGUCAGUCUUCUGGGUAGCUAGCUAGGAGAGUUUUUGAAAAGUUUUGCAAGUGACUUGGAGAAUGCCUUGUGUGAAAAAGUAUGGGAAGUAGCUAAAGGAGAAUUCUGUAGACUAAGAUUCCUGCUUCUUCAAGCUAAUAAACUCCAAGAGUCUGCACAAGACAACUUGGUCAGGCACGUAGUGAAUUGAAGUAACAGUUAUUUUAAAAUGAUAAUUGAAGGUUACAAACGAAUUGGUUCCUCAUGACUUCAUCAACUGAUCUUCAAUUCAAAAUUGAGUUCGUUCUCUCCAUUUUCCAUGGGUCAAAAUUGAUGGGCCUAAAUGUGAGGAAUCAUCGUAUCCAGUUGAAGAAGAUGACUUAGCUGAGAUCACAGUGAAUUAACUACCGUUAAAAAUUGGUAUGCACACAGAUAUUGAAUGGCACCUUCAAUUUUGAUCAGAUGCUAAAUGUAGAACAUAGUAUUGAAACACAGGCUGAAGAGUUUCCUUUCAAAUGGACAAUUGUCAAUUUUUCCUCACCAGACAUAGCAAAGGAGAUACACAUUGGUGUAGUAAUUUAAUAUAAACAGGGUAGUUAGGUGAGUUUGAAAAGGUUUACAAGUGACUUCGAGAAUAUGCCUUCUGUGAAAAAGCGAUGGUGAUUUCCCAUGUCUCCAGUGGUUAGUCUUGAGAUGUUAUUAGUUGGAAAUGUUCCCUUGGUGUUCAACACAAAAUUUGAACCUGCGGUGAAUUAAGUUGGAUUGGUGUGGCACUUCCUUUGUUGCUUUUGCUAAGCAGAUUCAAGACUGUCAAGUUGAAAUGGGAAACUGAAAAUUUGAGAUCAAAAUCCCUGAAUAUGAUGAAUCACAAAUAGACGAUUUGGUCAUGCUUGCAGUGAAUUAACAAUUAUUUUAAAAUGGUGCGUUCGGGGCUGCAUUUGUCUUUAUAUCUGCAAUUACCAUACAUCUCCAUGCCAAAUGAAAUGAAAUGGUGUUGCUUUCUUGUUCAGAUAAUUAAAGGUUACAAAUGAAUUGGUUCCUCAUCAACUGAUGAUCUUCUAUUCAAAACUUAGGUUUCUUGUUUGAUGCUUUUCUCCGAUCCCCUUGUAAGGUCAUUAAAGAUGACUUAGAGCCCAAUUUCACCUGUGGAUGGUGCAGUAUUAAUCCCAUGAUUUUGGAUAAUGCCUCUGUAACUCUUCAAAUUGGUCUAUGUUUCCUUUCCUAGGGGAAAAGUUGAGAUUGAGUGGGCUUAAUCUAUCCCUCUGAGAGGCAUUUCACAGCUUAAGGUGCUCAAGCUAGAAAGCGCCUUCCGGCAGCUUUAAAGCUCAUGUGGUGGAACAUGUCCCAAGGUCGGAAAAUGCAGAUGCUGAUAUCCUCUCCAAGCUCGUCCAUGAAGCCCCGAGUACAUUUCAAAAAUCGCCAAAAUCGUGGAUGUCCCGGCUGCUAGCAUAGAUGUGUUGCCACUCGCUCCGGUGGGGUAGGAGAGGAUAACUGGAUCACCGGCCUGAUGGGUUACCUUGAGAGUGGGCGAUUUCCGGAGGACGAUGAGCGUGCUCGGAAGGCUAAACUCCGAGCUCCGAGGUUCUAGAUAGUAGAUGGGAAGUUGUACCAGUGAUCAUAUGGCAGCCCUCGGAUGAGAUGCCUUACAGAUUUUGAAGCAAAAACUUGGUGAUGACUGAGCUGCAUUCUGGAAUUUGCUCGUCACACCAAGGGGGGAAGUCACUAGUCCGGAUAAUAAUGUUCAUCAGGUAUUAUUGGCCGUUGAUCCAGUUGGAUUGAGAAGAACUAACUUGGAACUGCGAGGCAUGUCAGGUCUUUGCUAAAAUGCCUGGUCAGCCAUCGACAUUUUACCAACCAGUCAGUACCGCAAUACCUUUUGCCCAGUGAGGUGUGGACAUCAUAGGGCCUUUCCCUGAGCUUUCUGGUUGGAUGAAGUUCAUAAUCGUGGCAAUCAAAUUACUUUUCAAAGUGAAUCGAAACCGAACCGUUGGCUACUAUCACCUCUCAGCAGUGUGAAAGGUUUCUAUGGAAGAACGUGGUAUCCCGAUUUGUUGUCGGCAGUUUGUAAAUCUCCUAUUUUAUUUUUAUAAAUAUUAUUUUUAAAUUUGUAAAUC